rnacentral:SRP_RNA from 1 species
CCGUGCUAGGUGGGGAGAUAGCGGUGCCCUGUACCCGCAAUCCGCUACAGCGGGGCUGAAUUCCCCUUCGAGGGCCGGACUGCUGGCCUCCACCUGCGCCGCGCGGCGUUGAGGGCUGGGUCCUGCGCGGCAGAGAGCCACGAAUCCCGCCAGGUCCGGAAGGAAGCAACGGUAAGUGGUCACCUCUGAGCGCCGCAGGGGCGCCUGGCCUGAGCUGAUCGGCGCGGGCGCGCUUGCAAGCCGGGACGACGGGGGGUGCACGG